UGACGAAAGGAGGCCUUCGGGCUUUCGCUGGAGGAGGGGCUUGCGUCUGAUUAGCUGGUUGGAGGGGUAACGGCCCACCAAGGCGACGAUCAGUAGCCGGUCUGAGAGGAUGAACGGCCACAUUGGGACUGAAACACGGCCCAGACUCCUACGGGAGGCAGCAGUGGGGAAUCUUCCGCAAUGGACGAAAGUCUGACGGAGCAACGCCGCGUGAACGAUGACGGCCUUCGGGUUGUAAAGUUCUGUUAUAUGGGACGAAAGGAAUGGUUAAUACCCGGUGUCUUUGACGGUACCGUAAGAGAAAGCCACGGCUAACUACGUGCCAGCAGCCGCGGUAAUACGUAGGUGGCAAGCGUUGUCCGGAAUAUUGGGCGUAAGGGCGCGCAGGCGGCAUCGCAAGUCGGUCUUAAAAGUGCGGGGCUUAACCCCGUGAGGGGACCGAAACUGUGAAGCUCGAGUGUCGGAGAGGAAAGCGGAAUUCCUAGUGUAGCGGUGAAAUGCGUAGAUAUUAGGAGGAACACCAGUGGCGAAAGCGGCUUU
rnacentral:rRNA from 1 species